CAAAUUAAUAUUAUAUAAAAAUUUUAUUUACAAUAAAAUUAUAGUUGUGAAAAUCAAUUUAAUUUGA
rnacentral:tRNA from 1 species